rnacentral:ribozyme from 1 species
AAAUGAAUCUCUUGACAGGACAAAGCAUUUCAUGUCUCUUUCUGUGAUUCCUAUAUUUUCUCCUCUUGUUUUGUUUUUGAAAUUGCUUCUAUAAUGUGUACAACUUGUAAAUAAUUCGGAUGG